rnacentral:tRNA from 1 species
AGUAAGGUAAGCUAAAUAAGCUUUUGGGCCCAUGCCCCAACAAUGUGGGUUAAACUCCUACUUUUACUG